GACGAACGCUGGCGGCGUGCUUAACACAUGCAAGUCGAGGGCAUCAUCCGGGCAACCGGGUGGUGACCGGCGAACGGGUGCGUAACACGUGAGCGACCUGCCGAUCGGCGGGGGAUAGCCGGCCCAACGGCCGGGUAAUACCGCAUACGCUCUCGCUGCCACCUGGCGGGGAGAGGAAACUGCCGGGGCAACCUGGUGGGCGGAUCGAGGGGCUCGCGGCCUAUCAGCUCGUUGGCGGGGUAACGGCCCACCAAGGCGACGACGGGUAGCUGGUCUGAGAGGAUGGCCAGCCACAUUGGGGACUGAGAGACGGGCCCCAGACUCCUACGGGGAGGCAGCAGUGGGGCAAUAUUGCGCAAUGGCCGCAAGGCUGACGCAGCGACGCCGCGUGGAGGAUGACGCCCCUCGGGGUGUAAAAGCUCCUGUUGCCCGGGACGAACGAGCGGGUUAGCCCGCUGUGACGGUACCGGGUGAGGAAGCACCGGCUAACUCCGUGCCAGCAGCCGCGGUAAUACGGAGGGUGCGAGCGUUGUCCGGAAUCACUGGGCGUAAAGGGCGCGUAGGCGGUGGGGGUAAGCGUGUGGUGAAAAGUCCGGGGGCUCAACCCCGGAUCGGCCGUGCGAACUGUCCCGACUGGAGCACUGUAGAGGCAGGUGGAAUUCCGGGUGUAGCGGUGGAAUGCGUAGAGAUCCGGAAGAACACCAGGGGCGAAGGCGGCCUGCUGGGCAGUGGCUGACGCUGAGGCGCGACAGCGUGGGGAGCAAACAGGA
rnacentral:rRNA from 1 species